UAGAUUUUAAAAAAUAAAAAUAAGUUUACAAAUUUGAUGAUUUUAUGAAUAUUAUAGCAUAUUUAUAAAUAAAACUUUUUUAAUUUUUUAUUAUUCUUUUUUUAAACGUCUGUAAAAAAUUUAAUAUCAAUUUAAUAGUUAGAUUGAAGGUUGUGAGAGUUUUUAUGGAUUAUGGUCUCAAACAAUUGAAAUUUAGGAUUAGUAAGGAUUUUUGAGAU
rnacentral:lncRNA from 1 species